UAGCAAUGUAAGCAAAUAUACCAGGUGCGGUCUGGCCUCAGUGAAAUAAAUGUGUCCUGUUUCCCUGAGCAAAUUAGGGUUAAUAUUUUACUUGCAUGUUUCCAUGACAAUACAAAGGUAGAUCAGAAUAACUUGAUCCAAUAGAGUAUUAACCCAUAAGAAGCACACCUUCACCAUGGCUCAAACUAGCUCCCAAUCUGUUGAUGUUAUCAACUCAAAUGCAGAAGAUUGAAGAAACCUACACAGUGAUGCACUGGUCCUGGAACCACAUCCUGAAAUUUGCAGCAGACUAGCGGCCAAACCUUCUGGUUACAGACUUUGGCACCCAGCUGAUUCAAUUGGAAGAUUUCUCUAGCCUGUUAAAAUGAAACUAAUCUCAGUUAACGUAGAGAAACAAAUAAUUUUCUCAUGUGGUCGAGUUUGGAAGAGAGCUCGAAAGAGAUAGCACCUUGAGAUUUCCUCGACUGCUUUAAUCACUUGCUAGGAACUAGUUUCCAGCACCUGGCCUCCAAAUAUGAUUUCAUCUAGGACAGUAUGCAUCUGGGAAUAAGAAAUCCACGUUCGCAUAGUUUACAUGAAAUCUUGUGGAGCCCGUCUCGGCCUUCUAGGUAAACAAGUCACUUUAGUUUUCAUAUAAGAUGGGACAUGAUGACAAGGAAUGAAGCAAAUUAUUGUCUUCUACAACAAUAACACAUCUCAACAACUCAUAUGGCUUGUCUGUAUUAUCAGCAAAAGAAAAUAUACAAAAACACAAUUUUACACAACGUACUUUAGUAGUUGCAUUGUAAACACAUCUACAACCAUUAGCAUACAAUUUUUUUUUUCAAAUUCUAAAUUAUGGUUUUUCUUGAAAUUCUAAAUUAUACAAAUUUCAUGAUGCCACAAUUAACUUUCUAAGAUCUUAAAUUUGUCUUUUUGUUUUGGAAGGUCCAAAUUAAAUUUCUCAUCAAUGAAAAUUAAUUGAUGUUAUUAGAAGAAUGGAUUGUAUAAAGAGAUAAAACUUGAACAUGUAAUAUGCAAAAAUAAAUGAAUUUGACAAAACCAUAUUGUGUAUGCUAAAGUAGGGGAAGAGAGAGAAGCCAAAUGUUGAAAGUAUACCCUCUGACUAAAAAAGACAAGUGAAAUCUCUGCCCAAGUAACCAUUGCUGUGUCACCAAGAAUAUAUCUUAUCCAUUGGGCGAACCCAGCGAAUGAGGCUCCUACUAAUGCAGAAUCUGAGGGUUACCUUACAAAUAAAGAAGUUGUUCCAGUAUCUUGAACUGUGGUCAUCCAAGUCACAAAAAAGCAAUUUAUCUGAUGUACUAAGGCUUGUCCUCAAUAUAUCUUAUCUAUUGGUGGCACAUAUAUGCAUACUAAAUAAUUUAUUCUUUUAGUGUGAAUUUCGCCCUGUUCCUACCUAUUUAAAACCUACUCAUCACAAGGCUAUAUGUCCAAUGCCUAAAAGAUGCAGUUGAGAAGCAUUUAUAGAAUAUGGAGGUCUCCAACUAAUUGGCAUGAUCUGAUGUAAACUAUAAAUAUGAUGAUACCCUCUUGGAUCAAUUUUCAUAGUAAAUAUAGACAGUAAGGGUAUAGUAAUAGAUUCUUUUGUUGAUUAUAGAUAGGAAACGUUGCUAUUCCAAAGCAUUCAUUUCUACUUGAAAAAAACAUAGCAUAAAUACAUUCUAUUUUAUACAUAAAAACAAACGCUAGAAGUUUAAAGAAAGAAAAUAUGAAGAUAAGAGACAAGUAGAGGGAAAUGAGCCAAUAUUUAAACAUUGAGUUCAAGAUCCAGUCAUGCCAAGUUUAAUAUGAGUAGCUCAUGAGUGGUGUUCUGAGCAAAUACUCAUUCUGUUAUCGCUAAUACUUCUAGCAAACAGGAUAGAGUUAAUUGAUUCUCUGUAACAUUGGUUUGUCUAACUAAAAGUGAACUUGCUUCAAGUUGUUUUGCAACCCAUUCCAUUGAGAACAAAAUAACAUUCUCCUAAGCUCACUUUCCCUAGCUUUUGUGCAUUCUUCUUUUAGUUAAGAUGAAAGACCAGAUGCAUUUUACUCGGUUACAAUAGAAGUUUUCUGGAAAGCUUCAGCGGUGAGCUCUGGCGACAGGAGUCACUCCUCUUCCCCCCUAUGAACCCUAAAGUUUCCCCACCCCCAAAGCCUCCAGACAAGCCUCCCAACUCACCCGACGAUUCUUGCAAAGCCCCUCUCUCUUCUUCUUGACCAUCAUGCAACCCUACACUGCUGCCACAAUCUAUCCGAUCAACCUAGGCUAGCCUCUUCAAGGGAACACAAAAUGGCAACAAAGCUCCUUGUGAAGCCACCCUCCAUCGCAUUCAGGAGAGCUCCAAUCUAGUGAUAGAGCUCGACCUCUCAGAAGUGAAGACCUCCAAGGAGGCUUGGCAACACUGUCUCUAUGAAAAAUUCUUCGAGCGUGCACCCCCAUCUGGAAUUCUUAAGAUCGAUCCUGUUCAAGAUUUGGAAACUCCCAAAUGGAAUUUAGAUUGUGGAUAUAGCAUCAGGAUUCUUCGGUUUCCAUUUCAAUUCCAAGGAGGAACUAUCGGACAUCCUCACUGGAGGGUCGUGGUUUGUUGGUAGCCAGGCCCUUACCCUCCUGCCUUGGAAGGACAACUUCCAAUCGUUGUGGGAGAAAGUGGAAGUUGCACCAAUCUAGAUUUAAUUGCCAGGCUUGCCAUUUGAGCUUCACUAUUCGAGUGUUCUUAGUAAAAUUGCCUCUAGAAUUGGUAGAUUGGUGAAGAUAGAUGAUAUCACACUAUCUCGUUCAAGAGGGAAGUUUGCCCGUGUGUGUCCUAGUCAACUUCUCCAAGCCUUUGUCACAAGGUUUCUGGAUCAAGGAGGGCUCUUACCAGUUUUUCCAAACAAUAUCAUAUGAAAAUAUACCCAAUAUCUAUUUCAGCUAUGGCAUGAUCGAGCAUUGUUCUGAUCUUUGCCCUUGUUUACAAUGUAAGGCCGAACUCGAACAACCCUCCCCUCCUCUCCUUAUUCCUCUAACAUUAACUCCUCGUUUGAGGCUUUGGUUUGCAGGGUGACGGAGGUCUUCCAUAAGGCAACUCAGAAAGGGUUGAAACAGGGUGAUGACUAACUUGCAGACAAAGUAGAUCUAGAGUGGGUCAGGAUGGUGAAGGAUGGGCCUAAAGCUCAAGAGGAGAUCAUGAAGUCGACUCCCUCCCCUUCGUUCUUCUUCUCCUCUUCUCAAUCAAAGAAAAAGAAAACUCUACAUCCUAGUGCCGAUUCUGCAGAUGCAGAGGCUCUCAAUCCCCCGCCGCACCCCCCUCUUCUCCUAAUCUAAUUAUUAUACUCUCUUGGUCUUACAGGAGUGCCUCGAAACAAGAAGGAAAGGAGCAAUUCAUGGCCCUUAUAAAAACACAUCAACUAGAUAUCAUCACUCUUCUUGAGACUCACCUGGACGAGGAGUGCAACUGCAGUUUCCUCCGUAGGCUAGGAAAGGCUUGGAGUGGGGACUUCGUCUCGGUUGUUGGACGUUCUGGCGGCAUAUUAGUAGCCUAGAAAUCCUCCUCGAUCAAGGCUACCACUAUUAGCAAAAAUACCCAAAGUCUUAAUCUCGUUAUGGAAACCCCUUGUAUGUCCCCAUAGAUCUUUUCCGCAAUAUAUGCAAGCACUUCGGUUCAUACUCGUCGGUCUCUUUGGACUUUGCUCUCUGCUCUCAGUUCUGUUUCGCUUUCAUAGUUUCUUUACAACGAUUUUAGCACUAUCCUUUUUAUCGAUGAAAAGCUUGGAGGUAGGCUGUUCCUUCUUUCUAGUUCUGUCUUGGAUUUCCAGAACUUUGUUUUUAACUCUGGUCUUCUUGAUUUUGGCUUUCAUGGUAGUCGUUUCACCUGGAGCAACAAGGCACUUAGGAUCUUUGCUAGGUUGGACUGUGCCCUUGGUAACCAGUAUUGAAUUUCUUUGUCUGAUAAGAUUUCCGUCCAG
rnacentral:lncRNA from 1 species